rnacentral:rRNA from 1 species
GAUGAACGCUGGCUACAGGCUUAACACAUGCAAGUCGAGGGGAAACGGCAUUGAGUGCUUGCACUGAAUGGACGUCGACCGGCGCACGGGUGAGUAACGCGUAUCCAACCUUCCCGUUACUGCGGGAUAACCUGCCGAAAGGCAGACUAAUACCGCAUGUUCUUCGAUGACGGCAUCAGAUUCGAAGCAAAGAUCCGUCGGUAACGGAGGGGGAUGCGUCUGAUUAGCUGGUUGGCGGGGCGACGGCCCACCAAGGCGACGAUCAGUAGGGGUUCUGAGAGGAAGGUCCCCCACAUUGGAACUGAGACACGGUCCAAACUCCUACGGGAGGCAGCAGUGAGGAAUAUUGGUCAAUGGGCGGAAGCCUGAACCAGCCAAGUAGCGUGCAGGAGGACGGCCCUACGGGUUGUAAACUGCUUUUAUGCGGGGAUAAAGCGAGGGACGCGUCCCUUUUUGCAGGUACCGCAUGAAUAAGGACCGCUAAUUCCC